rnacentral:lncRNA from 1 species
GAUAUUGAAUUGUUUUUCAUCAUUGGUCCUUGUUUAUCAAAGUUCAGGCUUUUCAAUCAUCCUGUUCCAAUUCCCAUUAAUGCCAGCCAGCGCUCUCGUCACGGGAUUAUCUCAGGAAUGCUGCCUCAAUGCCUUAUCACGCUCCAAAGAUACAAUGUCUACAGGAGUCAUUGAAUCAGCAGUUUUAAUUAAUGAUAAUAUUUAUUGAGUUUCAGAUGCCAAAUGGAAAUUUCUAGCUUUGUUUUUAAAAACUCUUUCAGAAGGCAGAAGCAUUUGAUUAUUUUUACCUUCUUCCAUUUGAAUAUUUCAUAGCUUUUCAUGUAAAUCUGCUGUUUAAUUACCAUUACAUUUAAAAGUGCAUAAACCACUAUGUGCUUAUGAGGAACACACGUAAUAUCUAAGAAGUGGCCCUUGGAUGAGGAGCUUACAAUCUGAUAGAGCUGGCUAGACUUGUGUGCAAUAAAGACUCUUAUAAAAAGACAACGUGGAGUUAAAUUGCUCAAAAGUGUCAGAAGAAGAGGAGGGUAGGGAAAACAUCUGAGCAAAGGUAGGGAGAGAGGAAUGAUUAGAACAUACUGUAUAAGGUCACAGCAUAGUUAGAAAAUCACCCAGAUUGAAGAAGUAAGCUGACAGGGUAUAGUGUGUUACAAAUCUGGCCUGGCUGGAACACCCCUGAGCUUGCUCUGGACAAUGCCCAGCCAGGCUCGGACAUGGGCUUGCCUCUCACCCCAACACAAUGGCCUUUUCUUAGUUCCUCAAUUGUUCCAAGUCCUUCCCUCUACCUGAGACAAUUCCCCUCUCCCUCCCGCACUUCCACCUCCAACUCCUCUCAACCUGAAGAUGACCCAGUUAAGAAUGGCCUUGCUGGCCAGGCGCAGUGGCUCACAGCUGUAAUCCCAACACUUGGGGAGGCCGAGGCAGGUGGAUCACUUGAGGUCAGGAGUUGGAGACCAGCCUGGCCAACAUGAUGAAACCCCAUCUCUACUAAAAAUACAAAAAUUAGCUGGGUGUGGUGGUGAGUGCCUGUAAUCCCAGCUACUCGGGAGGCUGAGGCAGGAAAAUCACUUGAACCUGGGAGGCAGAGGUUGCAGUGAGCCAAGAUCGCACCACUGCACUCCAGCUUGGAUGACAAGAGUGAGACUCCAUCUCAAAAACAAAACAAAACAAACAAAAAAACAAAUGGCCUUGCCUAUAUUAAGGUCCUCCUUUGUUCAGCUCCUUUAUUGGCUUCACAGCUCUAAUCCCAGUCUAAAAUUAUUUCGCUUAUGUUGACUCCAUUUACUUUAUGUUUAGUAUUUGUCUCCUCCAUAAACUAUAAACUCUUUGAGGACAGCCUCAAUUGUCCUGUUUGUUCUUUAUCUUCUAGUGUGUACCGGUCAGUAAAUAUCGGUCAAAUUAAAGGAUAAAAUAUGGGAAAGAUAAGAAUGAGUCCAGUCAAGGAAACCUGUCUGAUUUUCAAGAAGAAGAAAAGUUUAGAUUUUAUAAGAAAAGUAAUACACAGAUAAGCAAAAGAAUGAUAGAUUUUGGGGAGUAUGAAUGGAAAGAGGAUGUUAACAGUAUGCCGAAUGUAUUGUGGAGAGGAAAAUUACUAUAAGUGGGAGGCAGUUAGAAGGUUAUUACAGCAUCCAAGUAAAUUGAUAAAAGCCUGAACAAGGGUGGUAGAGUAGAAAUGGAGUGGAAGGGGAAAAGCUGAGAUUAUAAAGAAGAGUGCCCAUGAAAUUUUUGUUUUUAGCUUUCACUUUUAUUUUGAAAUAAUUUUUUCAGAUCUUUUGAAACUUAGAGAAAAGUUGCAAAAUAUCAUGAGCUUGUGUAUAGCCUUCAUCUAGAUUCACCAACUCUUAGAGUACUGCUCAUUUGCCCAUGAAAUUUUUGUUUUUAGCUUUCACUUUUAUUUUGAAAUAAUUUUUUCAGAUCUUUUAUUUUGAAACUUGGAGAAAAGUUGCAGAAAAUCAUGAGCUUGGGUAUAGCCUUCACCUAGAUUCACCAACUCUUAGAGUACUGCUCAUUUGCUUUAUUCCCUUGCUCUUUCCUCUGUACAUGCAUGUACAUUCUUACGUGUUCUUUUUUUAUGAAUCAUUUGGGAAUAAGUUAUAGACAUCAUGCCCCUUUAUUCCCAAAUACCUCAGUGUGUAUUUCCUAAUAACAAAGACACUUUCACAUAGACAGAAUACACUUACCAAAGUCAGGGAUUUAAUGUUGAUACAAUGCUUUAUCCAGGAUUCUAUAAUAGUUCAGGGUCCAAUUGAGGAUUAUGCAUUACAAUGAGUUAUAAUGUCUCUUUAGAUUCCAUUCAUCUGGAAUAGUUCCUUGUUUUUUUAAUUUUAUGCCAUCAAUAUUUUUGAAAUGUACUGGACAAUUAAGUUGUAGAAUGUUCCUCCGUUUGGGUUUGCUCAUGUUACCUCAUAAUUAGACUCAAACUCUGCAUUUUUGGUGGGAGUACUACAUUAGCAUUCUUGUGUCCUCCUCAGCACUGAAAAAGAGGCACAUGACAUCACUUUGUCACAUUAUUGGAGGUAUGAACUUUGAUCAUUUGGUUAAGGUGGCAUCUGCUAAGUUUCUCCACUGUAAGAUUGCUAUUUUUAUUUUGUAAUUAUUGAAUUAAUUUAUGCAAAGAUUAUGAGCCUAUAUGAAUAUUUUAUCUUCAUCAAACUUUUACCCAAUAGUUUUAGCAAACAUUGGGGAUUCUUGCCUGAAUCAGUUAUUGCCAUGACAGCUGCAAAAUGGUGAUUUUGUAACUCUAUUAUUUCUUCUACAUUUGUCAAUUGGUAUUUCACUGUAAAGAAAAGUGUUUGCUUUUUCCAUUGUAUUUAUAGCCCAUGGACUGUUUUUUGAUUACAUGGAUUAUAAUCCAUUACUGUCAUUAUUCAUUUUAAUGACCAAAUUACCCCAGUUUGUUCAGUGGGAGGCACUACAAAUGCCUCUUUCUUUUAGGAUUUAGAAAAAACUC